rnacentral:rRNA from 2 species
CCGAACCGACUAAUGUUGAAAAAUUAGCGGAUGACCUGUGGCUGGGGGUGAAAGGCCAAUCAAACCGGGAGAUAGCUGGUUCUCCCCGAAAGCUAUUUAGGUAGCGCCUCGUGAAUUCAUCUCCGGGGGUAGAGCACUGUUUCGGCUAGGGGGCCAUCCCGGCUUACCAACCCGAUGCAAACUGCGAAUACCGGAGAAUGUUAUCACGGGAGACACACGGCGGGUGCUAACGUCCGUCGUGAAGAGGGAAACAACCCAGACCGCCAGCUAAGGUCCCAAAGUCAUGGUUAAGUGGGAAACGAUGUGGGAAGGCCCAGACAGCCAGGAUGUUGGCUUAGAAGCAGCCAUCAUUUAAAGAAAGCGUAAUAGCUCACUGGUCGAGUCGGCCUGCGCGGAAGAUGUAACGGGGCUAAACCAUGCACCGAAGCUGCGGCAGCGACACUGUGUGUUGUUGGGUAGGGGAGCGUUCUGUAAGCCUGUGAAGG